GAUUGGAUAAGCUAAUUUAAGCCGUCGGGCUCAUACCCCGAAAAUGAGACACUUCUCUCCAAUCA
rnacentral:tRNA from 1 species